rnacentral:rRNA from 1 species
UAAGGUCUAACCUGCCCAAUGAGGAAUUAAAUGGCCGCAGUAUUUUGACUGUGCAAAGGUAGCAUAAUUAUUAGUUUUUUAAUUGAAAGCUUGUAUGAAGGGUUGGACGAAAUAAAAUCUGUCUCUAUUUAAAUUAAAUUAGAAUUUAACUUUUAAGUCAAAAGGCUUAAAUGUUUAUAAAAGACGAGAAGACCCUAUAGAUCUUUAUUUAAUUAAUAUUUUAAUAAUUUAGGAUUAUUCCAGUUUAAAUUGUUAAUUAAAUUUUAUUGGGGUAAUAUAGAGAUUAAAAGAAUUCUUUUUAUUUAUUACAUUGGUUUAUGAAUAUAUGAUCCAGUAUUAUUGAUUGUAAGAUUAAGUUACCUUAGGGAUAACAGCGUAAUUUUUUUGGAGAGCUCAUAUCGAUAAAAAAGUUUGCGACCUCGAUGUUGGAUUAAAAGUUAGCUUGGGUGUAGAAGCUCAAGAUUUUGGUCUGUUCGACCAUUAAACUUUUACAUGAUCUGAGUUCAGACCGGCGUAAGCCAGGUCGGUUUCUAUCUUUAUUAAGAUAAAAUAUUUUAGUACGAAAGGACCAAAUAUUUAAUAUAAUUAUAUUUAUUUUUUGAAUAAUAAUAUUACUUUGGCAGAAUAGUGCAAUGAAUUUAGAAUUCAUGAAUGUAAUUAUAUUACAAGUAAUACUUGUAUUUAGGAGAUUUAUUAAUAAUAGUUUUAUGUAUAUUAAUUCUUGUAAUUUGUGUAUUAGUUGGUGUAGCUUUUUUGACUUUAUUGGAACGUAAGGUGUUAGGUUAUAUUCAGAUCGGA